UACAGAGGGUGCAAGCGUUGUUCGGAAUUACUGGGCGUAAAGCGCGUGUAGGCGGCGUCGUUAGUCGGAUGUGAAAGCCCUCGGCUCAACCGAGGAAGUGCAUCCGAUACUGCGAUGCUUGAGUGUUGGAGGGGGUGGCGGAAUUCCCGGUGUAGAGGUGAAAUUCGUAGAUAUCGGGAGGAACACCUGGUGGCGAAGGCGGCCACCUGGACAACAACUGACGCUGAGACGCGAAAGCGUGGGUAGCAAACAGGAUUAAGAAACCC
rnacentral:rRNA from 1 species